rnacentral:siRNA from 1 species
UCUCAACAUAAUAAACUGAGCGGA